rnacentral:rRNA from 1 species
CUACGGGACGCUCCAGUGGGGAAUAUUGCACAAUGGAGGAAACUCUGAUGCAGCAACGCCGCGUGGAGGAUGACACUUUUCGGAGCGUAAACUCCUUUUAUAUAGGAAGAAGAUGACGGUACUAUAUGAAUAAGCGCCGGCUAACUCCGUGCCAGCAGCCGCGGUAAUACGGAGGGCGCAAGCGUUACUCGGAAUCACUGGGCGUAAAGAGCGUGUAGGCGGAUUAAAAAGUCAGAAGUGAAAUCCUAUAGCUUAACUAUAGAACUGCUUCUGUAACUCUUAAUCUAGAAUAUGGGAGAGGUAGAUGGAAUUUCUGGUGUAUGGGUAAAAUCCGUAGAGAUCAGAAGGAAUACCGAUUGCGAAGGCGAUCUACUAGAACAUUAUUGACGCUGAGACGCGAGAGCGUGGGGAGCAAACAGGAUUAGAUACCCGAGUAGUC